CAGCAGCCGCGGUAAUACGAAGGGGGCUAGCGUUGUUCGGAUUUACUAGGCGUAAAGGGCGCGUAGGCGGACUGAUAAGUCAGGGGUGAAAUCCCAAGGCUCAACCUUGGAACUGCCUUUGAUACUGUUUGUCUUGAGUUCGAGAGAGGUAAGUGGAACUGCGAGUGUAGAGGUGAAAUUCGUAGAUAUUCGCAAGAACACCAGUGGCGAAGGCGGCUUACUGGCUCGAAACUGACGCUGAGGCGCGAAAGCGUGGGGAGCAAACAGGAUUAGAGACCCCCGUAGUCCCUGUCUCUUAUAC
rnacentral:rRNA from 1 species